CGACACCCAUAUGAGCCCCACCCGGCUUCAAUCCCUGCCUUGGCCCAGUGCCUGGAGGGUCCUCCUUCCCUAGCUAAGCGCUGCCCUCACACACCACCUCCUCCAGAAUGGCAACAGCCCUGUUUGUGUGCUGUUACUGCCUACCAGGCACUGUGUAAGAGCAUCAGCCUCUUUCAUCCCCAUGGCAACCCUCUGAGAGAGCCACCUUUCAAUGGGAGCUUUGCUGGUGGAAGAGAAAGACAGAGAAGAGCACCUAGCACAGUGAGAACGUGGAGAAGGGGCAUGGAGGGCGGGGCGGGGGCAGGGAAACACUGAUUCUCACCAGAAGCCUCUGAGGGAGGCGUUAGUGCCCCACGGAGCAGGUGAAGAAAUGGAAACUCAAGGGUUAAAUGAA
ensembl:lncRNA novel transcript, antisense to FCGR2B